UUUUUACUCCCUCUGUCCGGAAAUACUUGUCGAAGAAAUGGAUGUAUUUAGAUGUAUUUUAGUUUAAGAUACAUCUAUUUUUAUCCAUUUCCACGACAAGUAUUUCCGGACGGAGGGAGUAUUAA
rnacentral:pre_miRNA from 1 species